rnacentral:tRNA from 1 species
UCCCUGGUGGCUCAGACGGUAAAGAAUCUGCCUGCAAUGCGGGAGGCCCAGGUUCAAUCCCUGGUCAGGAAG